UGUGGGGGACAUCCACGUUUCCCGCGUCGUAGCUAACGCAUUAAGGGCCCCGCCUGGGGAGUACGGCCGCAAGGCUAAACUCAAAGGAAUUGACGGGGCCCGCACAAGCGCGGAGCAUGCUGAUAAUUCGAUGCAACGCGAAGAACCUUACCAAGGCCUUGACAUGCACCGGGCGACUGCAGAGAUGUGGUUUUCUUCGGACUGGUGCACAGGUGGUGCAUGGUUGUCGUCAGCUCGUGUCGUGAGAUGUUGGGUUAAGUCCCGCAACGAGCGCAACCCUCGUUCUAUGUUGCCAGCACGUCAUGGUGGGGACUCAUAGGAGACUGCCGGGGUCAACUCGGAGGAAGGUGGGGACGACGUCAAAUCAUCAUGCCCCUUAUGUCUUGGGCUUCAAGCAUGCUACAAUGGUCGGUACAAUGGGUUGCGAAACUGUGAGGUGGAGCGAAUCCCAAAAAGCCGGCCUCAGUUCGGAUUGGGGUCUGCAACUCGACCCCAUGAAGUCGGAGUCGCUAGUAAUCGCAGAUCAGCAACGCUGCGGUGAAUACGUUCCCGGGCCUUGUACACACCGCCCGUCAAGUCACGAAAGUCGGUAACACCCGAAGCCAGUGGCCCAUCCUCGUGAGGGAGCUGUCGAAGGUGGGACUUGGUGAUUGGGACUAAGUCGUAACAAGUAGCCGUACCGGAAGUGCGGCUGGAUCACCUCCUAAGGCGAUUCGUUA
rnacentral:rRNA from 1 species